GACAUGCCCUAGCGUGGCUCCAUUUUCACCCGUUGUGCUAAGAAUCUCUCAGUGGUCCUUUCAAUCUGGCAACUUAUUUCCGUCUGUUCUGGAAAACUCUUUGAAUUGUUUCUCUGAUGAUUUCUUUCCUUCCAAUUAUUUGUCUGUUUGGAUAACCUGGCCUCAUCUUCCAAUGAUCUUAUCUUUUCAUUCCUAUUUUUUGUUGCUUUGUGUGUUCUCUCAAUGUUGCCUUCCAACACUCCUAUUGAGUUGUUUGUGGCUGUCAUAUGGUGAUGUCCAAGGGCUGCUUUUUGACAGGGUGCGAGACAUCCUUUUACUUCCCUGCAUGUAUGAACGAUUGUGUGAUUUCCAAGAAAGGAAAAGAAGUCGACCUACUUUCUGCACACCAGUCGUUUCCUCACACCCCACGAGGCAAGAGUAAUGCAGGAUCACAAAACUGGGAACAGCCGCUCCUGCAUUCCUCCCCCACUGGCUCUAGAAGUCCCAAGAGGAAGGUGUCACAUUUGCUCAUGACACGCUGCUUUGUCCAAUGACACUUUCCCUUCCGGUUCUCCUGCUCCCGGAAGCUGUCUAGAAGGAGCGACCUCUGCUCCUGGCCAGUGUGAGGCCCUGGCUGCCUCCCCUCUCUUCAGGUCACAGUUUCUCCACGCUCCAGUCUACUCCAAACUCAUCCUUUCCAUCUUCCUAUAUACCUCACCGCCCAACUGCUCCAAUCAGGAGGUCUUGGGCUUUGAAAACCUUCAGUAGCUUUAUGGCAAUUUUAUUGAAAGAACUCUUCCAACAUUUACUUGUUUUUCAUCACAGACCCCGUGCCCUGGAAUCCAAGCUGGAUUGUAAGGCCCUGAGGGGAGCUUUAGAUCUUAUUAUUUUUUGCAUUCUUCAUACCGGGCCUGGUGUCUUAGUCCAUUCGGGCUGUGAAAACAAAAAUGCCAUAGAGUGGGGAGCUUAUAAACCACAAUUGCUUCUCACAGUUCUGGAGGCUGGAAGUCUAAGAUGAAGGCGCUGGCAGACUCAGUGUCUGGUGAGGGCUGCUUCCUGGUUCAUAGCUGGCCGUCCCCUCCCUGUGUCCUCACAUGGCAGAAGGACCGAGGAGCUCUGUGGGGCCACUUUUAUAAGGGCCCCACCUCCUAAUACCAUCACCUCAGGGGUUAGGUUUCAACACAUGAAUUUAAGGGGGGGGCACAAACAUUCAGGCCAUAGCACAUAGAGCUUGAUGCCUAGAAGAUAUUUAUUAAAGUUUUUGAAUGACCAAGGGCUCCAAUAACAUGAAUCCACUUACUCCUCUUCUGAUCCUAAACAGUCACCAUGGAACCAAACCCCAGCUCUCAUCCUUCAAGAUAAGUUCUUUCCUGGAGACUCUUCUCGCCUCUGAACGUCCAAAGGAUUUAUCUUAGGUGCUGGGUUGUGAGUCGCUUCUGCACAUGGUCCAGGACAUCAUGGAGGGGUCGGGGGACAGGAGACAGUCUUUUGCCUCCAUGACCCUGGUAUGCUGGAUGCGUCAUCCAAUUUGUUCCUACUUCUCGAGGGCCCUGCUAGUGGGCUCAACAUAGCAAAUGUGGGGGUUGGUAUUUAAUUGUGGACGGACACGCCAGAAACAUCCCAAAUCCUCAGCUUCCUACUUCUCUCUACGCAUCUCCUUCCACCACUGCUCUGCUGAUAGAGCAAAGGAAGAGGCACAAUGAGAGGCCAGCAUCGUGGUGCCCACUUGGGUCUGGGCAGCUGGAGGAUGAAAAGACAACUUUAGGUGCAUGGGCUGGACUCCCUCAUGGGCCAACUGGGAGGCGAUGGUGUGGCGGUUCAAUCCCUUAGAAUCGCACGACGGGAAAGCUCAAGGUGGACUCAGAUCUCAGCUCCCAAAUCUGGAUGUGGGAAGGAGAAGAGAGUGUGCUGUUAACCCCUUGUUGCAAAGAGCCACUGUCCUGUCUAAAUAUAAAGGGCAUGGCGUGAACCCAUCAGAAAGUUAUCGCCACCACUUCUUUCUGAGGAAGGUGGGAGGCGGGGUCUGCUGUGGGCAGAAUUCUCAAGAGUGUGAGCAGCCACAGUUGGGCCCAGAGGAGCAAUACAACAGGGAAACGCCACCCUCCACCCCACAUGACAACACUCUCCAGCCCCUUAAGUGACAAUGGGAAGCGAAUAUGUCUUGUUUCCUUGUUACAUACCCAGCGCAUGGCACAAAGUCCGUCAUAGAUUAGGAACCCAGUAAACAUUUGUUGAGCAAAUAAAUUUGUUGAGCAAAUUCACGCACAAUGAAAUUGCUGAUCUGUGGCUUUAGAGCAAAUCUUUGGGACCAUCGUAAGUAGUUAAUAUGGAACAGAUGCAGCAUGGGAAACUUUGAGACAUAAAUGACCACG
ensembl:lncRNA